GAUGAACGCUAGCGGCAGGCCUAACACAUGCAAGUCGAGGGGUAACAGAGGGUGCUUGCACCUUGCUGACGACCGGCGCACGGGUGCGUAACGCGUAUGCAACCUACCUUUUACAGGAGGAUAGUCAAUAGAAAUGUUGAAUAAUACUCCAUACGAUCUUUGAGUGGCAUUACUUAAAGAAGAAAGCUUUUGCGGUAAAAGAUGGGCAUGCGUCCUAUUAGUUAGUUGGUGAGGUAACGGCUCACCAAGACAUCGAUAGGUAGGGGCCCUGAGAGGGGGAUCCCCCACACUGGUACUGAGACACGGACCAGACUCCUACGGGAGGCAGCAGUGAGGAAUAUUGGACAAUGGAGGCAACUCUGAUCCAGCCAUGCCGCGUGCAGGAAGACUGCCCUAUGGGUUGUAAACUGCUUUUAUACAGGAAGAAACCUACUUACGUGUAAGUAGCUGACGGUACUGUAAGAAUAAGGAUCGGCUAACUCCG
rnacentral:rRNA from 1 species